rnacentral:rRNA from 1 species
GACGAACGCUGGCGGCGUGCUUAACACAUGCAAGUCGAACGGUAAGGACCUGUUUUUGUGGGGUGCUCGAGUGGCGAACGGGGGAGUAACACGUGAGUAACCUGUGCUUGACUUUGGGAUAACUCCAGGAAACUGGAGUUAAAAUCGGACAGGAGCACCUGAUGCAUGGGGGGGGUGGGAAAGAUUCGCCGGUUGGUGAUGUAAUCGUGGUUCAUCAUUGUGUUGGUGGGGUAGUGGGUUACCAAGGCACGGACGGGUAGCUGACUAGGCAGGGUGACCGGCCACAUUGGGACCGGGAGGCGGCCCAGACGCCUCCGGGGGGAAGGAGGGGAGACUAUUGCACAAAGGGCGGAAGCCUGAAGCAGCAACGCGGCGUGCGGGAUGACGGCCUUAGGGUAGUAAGCUGCUUUGGCUUGUGACGAAGCGUGAGUGAGGGUAAUGGGGAAAGAAGCACCGGCUACUUACGG